ensembl:lncRNA
UAAAAAGUCAGCAACAUGAAAAUAAACUCCACCUAAACUUGGUUUAUAUCUGACCCAGAUAGACUGCAGGUCAUAACUUCUUACCUGAAGUUCAGUUCACCUGACACUCGGACUGGCGGCUGCUUCGGGUCUCUCCUCCUGCCUCCCCUUCCCUCAUCCACCUGUUGCCUCUGUGGAAGCCCCGUCAUAGCCACCACCAAACAACGGAGUUAUUUCUACACAUCGACCUGCAUCUGGCCAAUCCACCACCUCUCAUUGUUCAUGCCGUUACAAAAUAAAAUAAAAAAUAAUCGUAACAUUGCUGUAUGGAGCUGCAGAUUUGGUUGCAGGUUAACAUAGCUGGACUGGCCAUCGGGCUUAUUUGACUUAUUUUUUAUUUUAUUUUGUAACGGCAUGAACAAUGAGAGGUGGUGGAUUGGCCAGAUGCAGGUCGAUGUGUAGAAAUAACUCCGUUGUUUGGUGGUGGCUAUGACGGGGCUUCCACAGAGGCAACAGGUGGAUGAGGGAAGGGGAGGCAGGAGGAGAGACCCGAGGCAGCCACCAGUCCGAGUGUCAGGUGAACUGAACUUCAGGUAAGAAGUUAUGACCUGCAGUCUAUCUGGGUCAGAUAUAAACCAAGUUUAGGUGGAGUUUAUUUUCGUUGUGCUGACUUUUUACUGUCAGUUGCAAUAACUCAUACUGCGUUCUAGCCAGUUUGACGGAGUUUUUAUACAGCUGGGUGGGUGCUAUGAUGUUACUGAUAGUGAACUUUAUUUUAUUCAUAAGGUUAGUUAGUAGAGUUGCCA